rnacentral:rRNA from 1 species
GGGUUGUGAGGUUAAGCGACUAAGCGUACACGGUGGAUGCCCUGGCAGUCAGAGGCGAUGAAGGACGUGCUAAUCUGCGAAAAGCGUCGGUAAGGUGAUAUGAACCGUUAUAGCCGGCGAUGUCCGAAUGGGGAAACCCAGUGCAAUUCGUUGCACUAUCGUUAACUGAAUACAUAGGUUAACGAGGCGAACCGGGGGAACUGAAACAUCUAAGUACCCCGAGGAAAAGAAAUCAACCGAGAUUCCCCCAGUAGCGGCGAGCGAACGGGGAGCAGCCCAGAGUCUGAAUCAGCUUGUGUGUUAGUGGAACGGUCUGGAAAGUCCGACGGUACAGGGUGAUAGUCCCGUACACCAAAAUGCACAGGUUGUGAACUCGAAGAGUAGGGCGGGACACGUGGUAUCCUGUCUGAAUAUGGGGGGACCAUCCUCCAAGGCUAAAUACUCCUGACUGACCGAUAGUGAACCAGUACCGUGAGGGAAAGGCGAAAAGAACCCCGGCGAGGGGAGUGAAAAAGAACCUGAAACCGUGUACGUACAAGCAGUGGGAGCACCUUCGGGUGUGACUGCGUACCUUUUGUAUAAUGGGUCAGCGACUUAUAUUCUGUAGCAAGGUUAACCGUAUAGGGGAGCCGCAGGGAAACCGAGUCUUAACUGGGCGUUAAGUUGCAGGGUAUAGACCCGAAACCCGGUGAUCUAGCCAUGGGCAGGUUGAAGGUUGGGUAACACUAACUGGAGGACCGAACCGACUAAUGUUGAAAAAUUAGCGGAUGACUUGUGGCUGGGGGUGAAAGGCCAAUCAAACCGGGAGAUAGCUGGUUCUCCCCGAAAGCUAUUUAGGUAGCGCCUCGUGAACUCAUCUUCGGGGGUAGAGCACUGUUUCGGCUAGGGGGUCAUCCCGACUUACCAACCCGAUGCAAACUACGAAUACCGAAGAAUGUUAUCACGGGAGACACACGGCGGGUGCUAACGUCCGUCGUGAAGAGGGAAACAACCCAGACCGCCAGCUAAGGUCCCAAAGUCAUGGUUAAGUGGGAAACGAUGUGGGAAGGCACAGACAGCCAGGAUGUUGGCUUAGAAGCAGCCAUCAUUUAAAGAAAGCGUAAUAGCUCACUGGUCGAGUCGGCCUGCGCGGAAGAUGUAACGGGGCUAAACCAUGCACCGAAGCUGCGGCAGCGACACUAUGUGUUGUUGGGUAGGGGAGCGUUCUGUAAGCCUGCGAAGGUGACCUGUGAGGGUUGCUGGAGGUAUCAGAAGUGCGAAUGCUGACAUAAGUAACGAUAAAGCGGGUGAAAAGCCCGCUCGCCGGAAGACCAAGGGUUCCUGUCCAACGUUAAUCGGGGCAGGGUGAGUCGACCCCUAAGGCGAGGCCGAAAGGCGUAGUCGAUGGGAAACAGGUUAAUAUUCCUGUACUUGGUGUUACUGCGAAGGGGGGACGGAGAAGGCUAUGUUAGCCGGGCGACGGUUGUCCCGGUUUAAGCAUGUAGGCUGGUUAUCCAGGCAAAUCCGGAUAAUCAAGGCUGAGGUGUGAUGACGAGGCACUACGGUGCUGAAGUAACAAAUGCCCUGCUUCCAGGAAAAGCCUCUAAGCAUCAGGUAACAUCAAAUCGUACCCCAAACCGACACAGGUGGUCAGGUAGAGAAUACCAAGGCGCUUGAGAGAACUCGGGUGAAGGAACUAGGCAAAAUGGUGCCGUAACUUCGGGAGAAGGCACGCUGGUGUGUAGGUGAAGCCCCUGCGGGUGGAGCUGAGACCAGUCGAAGAUACCAGCUGGCUGCAACUGUUUAUUAAAAACACAGCACUGUGCAAACACGAAAGUGGACGUAUACGGUGUGACGCCUGCCCGGUGCCGGAAGGUUAAUUGAUGGGGUUAUCCGUAAGGAGAAGCUCUUGAUCGAAGCCCCGGUAAACGGCGGCCGUAACUAUAACGGUCCUAAGGUAGCGAAAUUCCUUGUCGGGUAAGUUCCGACCUGCACGAAUGGCGUAAUGAUGGCCAGGCUGUCUCCACCCGAGACUCAGUGAAAUUGAACUCGCUGUGAAGAUGCAGUGUACCCGCGGCAAGACGGAAAGACCCCGUGAACCUUUACUAUAGCUUGACACUGAACAUUGAGCCUUGAUGUGUAGGAUAGGUGGGAGGCUUUGAAGCGUGGACGCCAGUCUGCGUGGAGCCAACCUUGAAAUACCACCCUUUAAUGUUUGAUGUUCUAACGUUGGCCCCUGACCGGGGUUGCGGACAGUGUCUGGUGGGUAGUUUGACUGGGGCGGUCUCCUCCCAAAGCGUAACGGAGGAGCACGAAGGUUAGCUAAUCCUGGUCGGACAUCAGGAGGUUAGUGCAAUGGCAUAAGCUAGCUUGACUGCGAGCGUGACGGCGCGAGCAGGUGCGAAAGCAGGUCAUAGUGAUCCGGUGGUUCUGAAUGGAAGGGCCAUCGCUCAACGGAUAAAAGGUACUCCGGGGAUAACAGGCUGAUACCGCCCAAGAGUUCAUAUCGACGGCGGUGUUUGGCACCUCGAUGUCGGCUCAUCACAUCCUGGGGCUGAAGUAGGUCCCAAGGGUAUGGCUGUUCGCCAUUUAAAGUGGUACGCGAGCUGGGUUUAGAACGUCGUGAGACAGUUCGGUCCCUAUCUGCCGUGGGCGCUGGAGAAUUGAGGGGGGCUGCUCCUAGUACGAGAGGACCGGAGUGGACGCAUCACUGGUGUUCGGGUUGUCAUGCCAAUGGCACUGCCCGGUAGCUAAAUGCGGAAGAGAUAAGUGCUGAAAGCAUCUAAGCACGAAACUUGCCCCGAGAUGAGUUCUCCCUGAGACUUUAAGUCUCCUGAAGGAACGUUAAAGACGAUGACGUUGAUAGGCCGGGUGUGUAAGCGCAGCGAUGCGUUGAGCUAACCGGUACUAAUGAACCGUGAGGCUUAACCUUACAACGCCGAAG